rnacentral:rRNA from 1 species
CCUACGGGAGGCAGCAGUGAGGAAUAUUGGUCAAUGGACGAGAGUCUGAACCAGCCAAGUAGCGUGAAGGAUGACUGCCCUAUGGGUUGUAAACUUCUUUUAUAUGGGAAUAAAAUGUUCCACGUGUGGGAUUUUGUAUGUACCAUAUGAAUAAGGAUCGGCUAACUCCGUGCCAGCAGCCGCGGUAAUACGGAGGAUCCGAGCGUUAUCCGGAUUUAUUGGGUUUAAAGGGGGCGUAGGUGGAUUGGUAAGUCAGUUGUGAAAGUUUGUGGCUCAACCGUAAAAUUGCAGUUGAAACUGGCAGGCUUGAGUGCAGUAGAGGUGGGCGGAAUUCGUGGUGUAGCGGUGAAAUGCUUAGAUAUCACGAAGAACUCCGAUUGCGAAGGCAGCUCACUGGACUGCAACUGACACUGAGGCUCGAAAGUGUGGGUAUCAAACAGGAUUAGAUACCCCUGUAGUC